AAGUCGUAACAAGGUUUCCGUAGGUGAACCUGCGGAAGGAUCAUUAAUAUGACCAAAUAAAUGUAUUUGUUAAUACAAAGCUUUAUAAUAGUUUUCUUGAUUUUGUUUCUAUUAUAAUUCUAUUAAAAAAUUAAGAGAUUUCGAUAUGGUUUAUUAUUUUCCAAGGAAAAUGUAAACUGUACGAAUUAUAUAUAAAAUGUAGUUGGUCUUUAUUAUAAAAGUCUUAAAAUAACUUUUAACGAUGGAUCUCUAGGCUCCUUU
rnacentral:misc_RNA from 1 species